rnacentral:snRNA from 1 species
GUGCUCGCUUCGGCAGCACGUAUACUAAAAUUGGAACGAUACAGAGAAGAUUAGCAUGGCCCCUGUGCAAGGAUGACAUGCAAAUUUGUGAAGCGUUCCAUAUUUUU